rnacentral:rRNA from 1 species
CUAGCUGUAAACGAUGGAUACUAGGCGUUGAGAGUAUCGACCCUCUCAGUGUCGUAGCUAACGCGUUAAGUAUCCCGCCUGGGGAGUACGCGCGCAAGCGUGAAACUCAAAGGAAUUGACGGGGGCCCGCACAAGCGGUGGAGUAUGUGGUUUAAUUCGAUGCAACGCGAAGAACCUUACCAGAGCUUGACAUGUCCGGAACCCUGCCCAAAGGCGGGGGUGCCUACGGGAACCGGAACACAGGUGGUGC